ensembl:rRNA 5S_rRNA 5S ribosomal RNA
GCUUACGGCCAUACCCUCUCUGGCCCGCCGGAUCUCGUCUGAUCUCAGAAGCUAAGCAGAAUAGGGCCUGGUUAGUACUUGAAUGGAAGACCGCCUGGGAAUCCCAGGUGCCGUAAGCU